rnacentral:tRNA from 1 species
GGGCUCAUAGCUCAGUUGGUUAGAGCACACGCCUGAUAAGCGUGAGGUCGGUAGUUCGAGUCUACUUGAGCCCACCA